UACCGGCGGCUCGAGUGGUGGCCACUAUUACUGGGCUUAAAGGGUCCGUAGCUUGAUAUGCAAGUCUUUUGAGAAAUCCGCCGGCUUAACUGGUGGGCGUUCAGGGGAAACUGCAUUUCUAGGGACCGGGAGAGGUGAGAGGUACUGCCGGGGUAGGAGUGAAAUCCUGUAAUCCCGGUGGGACCACCUAUGGCGAAGGCAUCUCACCAGAACGGGUCCGACAGUGAGGGACGAAAGCUGGGGGAGCAAACCGG
rnacentral:rRNA from 2 species